UAUAACCUGGUGUUUAUUUGCAUACUUUAUUUUGGUUGAAGGGGUGAGGAGAUUUCGGUUAUAA
rnacentral:tRNA from 1 species